CUACGGGAGGCAGCAGUGGGGAAUAUUGCACAAUGGGCGCAAGCCUGAUGCAGCAACGCCGUGUGAGUGAAGAAGGUUUUCGGAUCGUAAAACUCUGUCCUAAGGGAAGAACAAAUGACGGUACCUUAGGAGGAAGCCCCGGCUAACUAUGUGCCAGCAGCCGCGGUAAUACGUAGGGGGCAAGCGUUAUCCGGAAUCACUGGGCGUAAAGGGUGCGUAGGCGGCUUAGCAAGCCAGGGGUGAAAGGCAUUGGCUCAACCAAUGUAAGCCUUUGGAACUGUUAAGCUUGAGUGCAGGAGAGGUAAGUGGAAUUCCUAGUGUAGAGGUGAAAUUCGUAGAUAUUAGGAGGAACACCAGUGGCGAAGGCGACUUACUGGACUGUAACUGACGCUGAUGCACGAAAGCGUGGGUAGCGAACAGGAUUAGAUACCCUGGUAG
rnacentral:rRNA from 1 species